rnacentral:sRNA from 1 species
GGUACUAGUGACCUGACACAUCUUUUUGGAGGACCCUACUGAAUCCACUGUAUCCCUUGAGCAGUCAUGUGUGAUGUGUACUUACCCCGAUGAAAAGUAGACAUCCCCAUCAGUGCUAACCGUGGUCAUAGCAGUGGCGGUUGGUCCAUGAGAGAAACGGCUCAGGCAGGGUGCAUUCUGGUCCUUGUGGCCCUCUAAUAGGCUGAUUGGGACAUUUCUUAUUCUCUUCCCCCAAGUGAAAGCCCCUCAGGGAAAAAACCAGAAGUCCUUUGUCUUCAUCCUGGAGCCCAAGAAGCAGGGCGAUCCUCCGGUGGAGUUUGCCACAGACAGAGUGGAGGAACUCUUUGAGUGGUUUCAGAGCAUCCGAGAGAUCACCUGGAAGAUUGACACCAAGGAGAACAACAUGAAGUACUGGGAGAAGAACCAGUCCAUCGCCAUCGAGCUCUCUGACCUGGUUGUCUACUGCAAACCAACCAGCAAAACCAAGGACAACUUAGAAAAUCCUGACUUCCGAGAAAUCCGCUCCUUUGUGGAGACGA